rnacentral:rRNA from 1 species
UACGGAGGGUGCGAGCGUUGUCCGGAAUCACUGGGCGUAAAGGGCGCGUAGGUGGCGCGGGCAGUCAACGGUGAAAGUUCGGGGCUCAACCCUGAAUCGGCCGUCGAUACUCCCGUGCUUGAGCACUGUAGAGGCAGAUGGAAUUCCGGGUGUAGCGGUGGAAUGCGUAGAGAUCCGGAAGAACACCGGUGGCGAAGGCGGUCUGCUGGGCAGUAGCUGACACUGAGGCGCGACAGCGUGGGAGCAACAGG